rnacentral:sRNA from 1 species
GCUCUGCUGGAGGCCGCCUUCUGACGGUCGCCAACCAGUCCUGGCUCGCCGUGGCGCCAGCCUAGCAGGGGGAUGGGCCAGGCAGUGACUGACCAUCACACCGGGCUGACUCUUAAAGUCACGAUUCAAUCCUCAUGGUCUCGUGGGGGUUACCUCUGGAUCCCCACUUUUGGCCAAUCAAGGAUAGUUGCUAGCAGAUAAUUUACAGGUGUCUACCAAACAUCACAUUAAAGAGAUAAUGUUCAGCGCCCUAAUUCUUACUGCAGCGGAGGCAGACGUUAUGGAAAAAAAGCGUCAAAACACACACAGAGGGUCCUUCCACCGCCAGAUCACCGAAGACGAGGCGUUUGUGCUCUGCUGGGUGUAUUAACUUCAGCCAUGUGAAUAUAAUUUUCAUUAAAGUAAUCCUGUCUCAACUCGAUGCUGCGGGUAGAGGUGAAACGUUGCGAAAGCGUUAAAAAUAGCUUGCUAGUAAUUUCAACAUCCUGUAAUUUUAUCGCGGAUCGAGUUUCAACUGUCGUACUAUACAAACCUUAUCCCCCAUAUAGUACAUGUUUACUUUUUUAGCCUGCCAGACCCACUCUGGAAAGAUUGGUGCCAAUAUAAUAAAAUCGCUGGGGAGGUUGGGGGGUGCUGGAAAGAGUGGGAGGAGAGCCGGGAAGGGGUGGGGGAAGUGAGUACACCAUUUUACAUCAACGCUGCGAAAAUGCAAGCGAGCCAGGCGGAGGACCGGCAGCUGGGUCGCAGCGAGCGAGGGCUUUGCAGUCCCUGCUUGUUCCUUGUUCUGUGGCUCUUAAGUUUCUCUGUUUGCAUAAUAGCCGUGCAUGCAAACCGCGCAAUGCUCCAGGGCUCUAGAACAAUAAAUAUACACAUUUAAAACCUU